rnacentral:piRNA from 1 species
CUGCAGUGUCUGCACAGCGUCCACUACUUC